AUUGAACGCUGGCGGCAUGCCUUACACAUGCAAGUCGAACGGCAGCACGGGUGCUUGCCCCUGGUGGCGAGUGGCGAACGGGUGAGUAAUACAUCGGAACAUGUCCUGUAGUGGGGGAUAGCCCGGCGAAAGCCGGAUUAAUACCGCAUACGAUCUACGGAUGAAAGCGGGGGACCUUCGGGCCUCGCGCUAUCGGGUUGGCCGAUGGCUGAUUAGCUAGUUGGUGGGGUAAAGGCCUACCAAGGCGACGAUCAGUAGCUGGUCUGAGAGGACGACCAGCCACACUGGGACUGAGACACGGCCCAGACUCCUACGGGAGGCAGCAGUGGGGAAUUUUGGACAAUGGGCGAAAGCCUGAUCCAGCAAUGCCGCGUGUGUGAAGAAGGCCUUCGGGUUGUAAAGCACUUUUGUCCGGAAAGAAAUCCUUGGCCCUAAUACGGUCGGGGGAUGACGUUACCGGAAGAAUAAGCACCAGCUAACUACGUG
rnacentral:rRNA from 1 species